CCCUUUCCCGAGUUUGGAAAAUGAUGUCUGCUGGAGUACUAAAACAUACCCCAAGAUAUGGACACAAAUUACCCACUCCUAAUUCGGGGAGGUAGUGAUGAAAAAUAACAAUACAGGACUCUUUCGAGACUCUGUAAUUGGAAUGAGUACACUUUAAAUCCUUUAAUGAGGAUCCAUUGGAGGGCAAGUCUGGUGCCAGCAGCUGCGGUUAUUCUAGCUCCAAUAGCAUAUAUUAAAGUUGUUGCAGUUAAAAAGCUUGUAGUUGGAUCUUGAGAUUGAGCUGGCGGUCCGCCGCGAGGUGAGCUACCGCCUGUCCCUGCCCUGGCCUCUCAGUACUCCCUUGAUGCUCUUAACUGAGUGUCCUGCACGGUCCGAAGCAUUUACUUUAUUUACUUUGAAAAUAAUACAUGGGGACAUGAGCAAGUCAGGGUUCUCUUGCUGAAGCUGAUAAUUG
rnacentral:ncRNA from 1 species